rnacentral:rRNA from 1 species
UACGUAGGCAGCGAGCGUUGUUCGGAAUUACUGGGCGUAAAGGGCGCGCAGGCGGUCUUGAAAGUCAGGCGUGAAAGCCCCGGGCUUAACCUGGGAAUUGCGCUUGAUACUCUGAGACUGGAGUACGGGAGAGGAGAGUGGAAUUCCCAGUGUAGAGGUGAAAUUCGUAGAUAUUGGGAAGAACACCAGUGGCGAAGGCGGCUCUCUGGACCGUAACUGACGCUGAGGCGCGAAAGCGUGGGGAGCAAACAGG